CAAGUCGAACGGAAAUAGAGGAGCUUGCUCCUCUUGAUUAGUGGCGAACGGGUGAGUAACACGUGGGCAACCUGCCCCUGACUCUGGGAUAACUACUCGAAAGAGUAGCUAAUACCGGAUAUGAAACCUGAAGACAUCUUCGGGUUUGGAAAGUUUUUCGGUCAGGGAUGGGCCCGCGGCCUAUCAGCUAGUUGGUGAGGUAGUGGCUCACCAAGGCGACGACGGGUAGCCGGCCUGAGAGGGCGACCGGCCACACUGGGACUGAGACACGGCCCAGACUCC
rnacentral:rRNA from 2 species